rnacentral:rRNA from 1 species
UACGGGGGGGCAAGCGUUGUUCGGAAUUACUGGGCGUUAAAGAGCUCGUAGGCGGCCACUCAAGUCGAAUGGUGAAACCUCGAGGCUUAACCUCGAGCCUGCAUCGAUACUGGCGGCUAGAGUCUGGUAGGGGAUCGUGGAAUUCCUGGUGUAGCGGUGGAAUGCGCAGAUAUCAGGAGGAACACCGGUGGCGAAGCGGGAUCCUGGGCCAGUACUGACGCUGAGGAGCGAAAGCGUGGGGAGCAACA